GAGGUUGUGGCUCAGUGGUAGAGCGCUGCCUAGCAUGCAUGAGGCACUGGGUUCGAGCCGCAGCACCACA
rnacentral:tRNA from 1 species